rnacentral:lncRNA from 1 species
CCACUAAGGAUUUGGUUAUGCUCUGCUAGCUUCGGAAUGCAGCCCAGGAUCAGCUGCCCAGAGAAUGGUGUCACCCACAAUGGUCUGCACCCUCCUACAUCAAGAAACAGUCACGAAAGCUCUCACAGACAUGCCACAGACUAACCUGAUAAAAACCAUUCAAUUGGAAUUCUUUUUUUCUGGUGAUUCUAGACUAUGUCAAAUUGAGGAGUUAAUGCUAAUUAGGACAUGCAUCUAGACUGGGAUUUUGGCUGGCUUGGUGUUUGCAGGUCUUGCAUAGAUAACCAGGGCUGCCAGGAGUUUAGGAGAAUAAUAAUAACCGUAUCACUUCCACAGGACAACAUUUCAAAGCUCUUGUCUCCAUCCUCUGGCUCUUACAUUCUUUCUGCCUCUCAUGCACUUUCCCAUGUACCUUGGGGUGAAAAGCUUAAAUCCAGGCAUUGUGUACACCUUUAGCCCUA